GAAAAUGUUGUUUAUUAAUAAUAGAAAAGUUUUUGUACACUAUAAAUAAGAAUUACGAGACACAAAAUAUAUUAAUCAGUUUAAAUAAUUGAGAUUUUGAAUAUAAAAAAUAUGUUAAUGAAAAAACUGUAGAGGGUUUGAUUUACGUUGUUGUCAAAUUCUUCCCCAUGUUCUCCCACAAAGAUGGACGAAGUAAACAAUAACAAUGUCAGUUAUAAAUAAUUGCAAUUUGUGUAUGGCAUAAGUAUAAUAAUAAAUUUUCUAGAGAAAUGAAUACAUUAAAAGAAGGAUUUUAUGUACAUAAUGAUGUGGAUUGUUGCGGAAAAAUGCAAAAAGUUGCAAAUAGGUAUAUUAGCUUUUUAUGGAUUACUAAAAAGAUUUUCAUCAAAUUCUCAUCCGCAAUGUAUUUUCCGAAUUUUCCAUAUAUUAACAUAACCAUAAAAUGCACAGUGCAGUUUGAUGGCAAAAUAAUAAAAAUUAAUUACGUUAAUUACCAAAGGACAUGGGGACACUACUUGAUAAAGAAAGAUCUUUGGCACAUUUUUUGUCAUAAUAGGAUGAAUUUAAUACAUUUUUGAAAGAGAAAUUUAAAUCCAAAAGACGAUUUACUACAAUAUUUCCACGUACUCACUGGAAAUUAAGAAAAAAGAAACGAUCGAAUAUAUUCAGCGUCUAAAUGUGGGAUUUUUUUUAAUUGUCGCAGAAUUCCUAACAGCAAAAGGCAAUUUUAUUUUGAUUGGAAGAAAAGGUGUGACGCCAAUUUUCGGAAUAUUAUUUUAUUGAAUCCAAAUGUGAUAUUUGUGUGAUCAGUCGCAGAAUUUAUGAUAACAACUGUUAAUUUAAUUUAGAAAAGAAUUAUUAGUCAAGGACAAGAAAAAAAGGAUUGUGAUAAAUUGUUCUAUUUCAUCUAAACGAAUAUACCAGAAAAGGAUUAUUAUUCAAGGACAAUAAAUAAACGGAUUUUGAUAAAUGUGCCGUAAUUAUGUAAGUGGCGGAACUUCUUAUUAAGUUUCGCUAAUGAUUCGGACAGGAGUGUUUAAGGAGAAGAAUAUGUGUUGAGACGGAGAAGACCAAAGAAAGAAUGAAAAAAUAAAGAAUCGUCCUUUGAAUGAUUGGUAGAAGUCCUUUUUCUCCUCUCUUCAGUCCAGUAAAUUAUGUAAGAUAUAAAUUUUUCGACUAUGAAAAAUGGAAGAGUUAUAGUAAAAAUUCGAAAACAUAAAGUGAACGUCAACAUUCAAAAUAGUAUUCAUCUUCGAUCUACGCAGAAUUGUCUUCAUUUCUUCAAAGAUGAGGAAAGGUACGGCAAUCAUCAACUUCCGGAUCCGUGUCAGCAAAUAUGUGCAGCGCGGAGUACCGAGGAGAAGGAAUUGAAAAAAAAAGAGGCGAGACUUACUUUAUCUGGCAGAAAGCUAUCCUUUAUGGCAUAUAUUAACCCUGACGGGAUUCAAGGUUCAACUUUUUGUUCCUACAACAUUGUCAUUGGAAAAUAUCAACAAAGGAGUUCGUUGAAGAAGUAAUUCGUCGCAACACUGCAAGAGAAAAUUAUCAUCUUUGUCUUCGUUAUCAUCAUCAUCUUCAUCAUCAUUAUCAACAUCAUCAUUAGCAUCGUCUUCAUCAACAUCAA